GCCUGGGUGGCUCGGUCGGUUAAGCGUCUGACUUCAGCUCAGGUCAUGAUCUCACAGUCCGUGGGUUCGAGCCCCGCGUCAGGCU
rnacentral:tRNA from 1 species